rnacentral:pre_miRNA from 1 species
GAAAGUUAAGAAACUGUUUCUUAAUUUUUAACUAAAAAUGCUAAGAACCAGUUCUUAAAGUCCUUAUUUAAGAACCGGCUCUUAGUUUUUUUAGUUAAAACUUAAGAAACAGUUUCUUAACUUCC